AGAGUUUGAUCAUGGCUCAGGACGAACGCUGGCGGCGUGCAUAACACAUGCAAGUCACGGGGGCCCGCAAGGGUAACCGGCGAACGGGUGCGUAACACGUGAGCAACCUGCCAUAGUGUGGGGCAUAGCCGGCCUAACGGCCGGGUAAUUCCGCAUACGAUCUUGAAGGAGCAUUCCUUUAAGAUGAAACGAGUAAUCGG
rnacentral:rRNA from 1 species